GACGAACGCUGGCGGCGUGCUUAACACAUGCAAGUCGAACGGAAAGGCCCUGCUUGCAGGGUGCUCGAGUGGCGAACGGGUGAGUAACACGUGGGUGAUCUGCCCCUUACUUUGGGAUAAGCCUGGGAAACUGGGUCUAGUACUGGAUAGGACCAUGCUGUAGGUGGUGUGGUGGAAAGAUUAGUUUCGGUAAGGGAUGAGCUCGCGGCCUAUCAGCUUGUUGGUGGGGUAAUGGCCUACCAAGGCGUCGACGGGUAGCCGGCCUGAGAGGGUGGACGGCCACAUUGGGACUGAGAUACGGCCCAGACUCCUACGGGAGGCAGCAGUGGGGAAUAUUGCACAAUGGGCGCACGCCUGAUGCAGCGACGCCGCGUGGGGGAUGACGGCCUUCGGGUUGUAAACUCCUUUCAGCCAUGACGAAGCCCUUGUGGUGACGGUAGUGGUAGAAGAAGCACCGGCUAACUACGUG
rnacentral:rRNA from 1 species